rnacentral:rRNA from 1 species
CCCCAUGACCACGGGAUAACCCGUUGAAAGACGGACUAAUACCGUAUGACGCGUUUGCUGACAUCAAAUAACGAUUAAAGGUUUAGCGGUGAUGGAUGGGGAUGCGUCUGAUUAGCUUGUUGGCGGGGUAACGGCCCACCAAGGCGACGAUCAGUAGGGGUUCUGAGAGGAAGGUCCCCCACAUUGGAACUGAGACACGGUCCAA